rnacentral:rRNA from 1 species
AUUGAACGCUGGCGGCAGGCCUAACACAUGCAAGUCGAGCGGAUGAAGGGAGCUUGCUCCUGGAUUCAGCGGCGGACGGGUGAGUAAUGCCUAGGAAUCUGCCGGGUAGUGGGGGAUAACGUCCGGAAACGGGCGCUAAUACCGCAUACGUCCUGAGGGAGAAAGUGGGGGAUCUUCGGACCUCACGCUAUCAGAUGAGCCUAGGUCGGAUUAGCUAGUUGGUGGGGUAAAGGCCUACCAAGGCGACGAUCCGUAACUGGUCUGAGAGGAUGAUCAGUCACACUGGAGCUGGGACACGGUCCAGACGCCUACGGGAGGCAGCAGUGUGGAAUAUUGGACAAUGGGCGAAAGCCUGAUCCAGCCAUGCCGCGUGUGUGAAGAAGGUCUUCGGAUUGUAAAGCACUUUAAGUUGGGAGGAAGGGCAGUAAGUUAAUACCUUGCUGUUUUGACGUUACCAACAGAAUAAGCACCGGCUAACUUCGUG